GACGAACCGUGCGAACGUUAUUCGGAAUCACUGGGCUUAAAGCGCGUGUAGGCGGGCCGGCACGUCGGUGCUGAAAGCCCCCGGCUCAACCGGGGAACGGGCGCCGAUACGACCGGCCUGGAGGGGCGUAGGGGGAUCGGGAACUUCCGGUGGAGCGGUGAAAUGCGUUGAGAUCGGAAGGAACGCCCGUGGCGAAAGCGCGGUCCUGGACGCCUGCUGACGCUGAGACGCGAAAGCCAGGGGAGCGAACGGG
rnacentral:rRNA from 1 species